rnacentral:tRNA from 1 species
GAGGAUGUGGCUUAGUUGGCAGAGUGCCUGCCUGGCAUGCAAGAAGCCCUGGGUUCAAUCCCCAGCACCACA